AAGACUCCAUUCCGCCCGGAGCUGAGCUGGGCGGGUCUGGGCGUUGGCGGGCGGUACCCGCCGGGGCGGAUUUCUUGGUUGGGUCGUUGAAAUAGGAGUCAGCGUCCCCUGAGGAACCUGUGUAAGCGGAGAUUUAGCUUUGGGGCUAGCAGUCAGAGCAGCACCUCUGGAUUUCCUCCCGGGACGUUGAAUCCUCUCACACUCGUUGUCCUCGUGGCUUCUCCUGCAACACUGAGACAAAGUCACACUUCAGAAGAAGAAGAAGAAGAAGAAGAAGAAGAAGAAGAAGAAAGAGGAGGAGGAGGAAGAGGAGGAGGAGGAAGAGGAGAGAUACCCCCAUCCCCAUCCCGGGCCAUGUGAGGAAAGCAAGAAGGCAGCUAGCUGCAAAGCAGGAAGAGUGCUUUCACCAGAGACUCAGUCAGCUGGCACCUUGAUCUUGGAUUUGCCAGUGUCCAGAACUGUGAGAAAAUAAAUUCCUAUUGUUUAA